UGGGGGUCAUCCUGGAGGUGACCACAGACCCUAAUGGCCCAAGGUCUUCCACCCUGGCCAGGCUGCCUUUGUCCUGGCAGUCCUCUCCAGAUGGCCUCUCCAGUGAAAGCACAUCUUUCCUUUAUGUAGGAAAGGGUUUAGUGCCAAAGACUGUAUUCAUUCAUCAUCACGUCUUUUGGCCAUCAUCGUAUGCAGUAUGA
rnacentral:lncRNA from 13 species